AUUGAACGCUGGCGGCAGGCCUAACACAUGCAAGUCGAACGAGUGGCGGACGGGUGAGUAAUGUCUGGGAAACUGCCUGAUGGAGGGGGCUAACUACUGGAAACGGUCGCUAAUACCGCAUACCAUCGGAUGUGCCCAGAUGGGAUUAGCUAGUAGGUGGGGUAAGGGCUCACCAAGGCGCCGAUCCCUAGCUGGUCUGAGAGGAGGACCAGCCACACUGGAACUGAGACACGGUCCAGACUCCUAAGGGAGGAAGCAGUGGGGAAUAUUGCACAAUGGGCGCAAGCGUGAUGCAGCAAUGCCGCGUGUAUGAAGAAGGCCUUCGGGUUGUAAAGUACUUUCAGCGUGGAGGCGGUACCCGAAGAAGAAGCACCGGCUAACUCCGUGCCAGCAGCCGCGGUAAUUC
rnacentral:rRNA from 1 species